GCCUUAGUGGUGUAAUGGUCAACAAGCUCGACGCGUAUUCGAGAGGUCCGUGGUUCGAAUCCCGGCGCGGGCA
rnacentral:tRNA from 1 species